rnacentral:rRNA from 1 species
CCUACGGGAGGCAGCAGUGAGGAAUAUUGGACAAUGGGCGCAAGCCUGAUCCAGCCAUGCCGCGUGCAGGAUGACGGUCCUAUGGAUUGUAAACUGCUUUUGUACAGGAAGAAACCCUCCGACGUGUCGGAGCUUGACGGUACUGUAAGAAUAAGGAUCGGCUAACUCCGUGCCAGCAGCCGCGGUAAUAUGGAGGAUCCAAGCGUUAUCCGGAAUCAUUGGGUUUAAAGGGUCCGUAGGCGGUUUAAUAAGUCAGUGGUGAAAGCCCAUCGCUCAACGGUGGAACGGCCAUUGAUACUGUUAGACUUGAAUUAUUAGGAAGUAACUAGAAUAUGUAGUGUAGCGGUGAAAUGCUUAGAGAUUACAUGGAAUACCAAUUGCGAAGGCAGGUUACUACUAAUUGAUUGACGCUGAUGGACGAAAGCGUGGUAGCGAACAGGAUUAGAUACCCUGGUAGUCCACGCCGUAAACGAUGGAUACUAGCUGUUGAAGCAAUUCAGUGGCUAAGCGAAAGUGAUAGUAUCCCNCNGAGUAGUGNAGANNANANAGAGUAGNGNGNGNGAGNGCGAGACGACAGAGGAGAG